rnacentral:rRNA from 1 species
UGCGGAGGAUGCGAGCGUUAUCUGGAUUUAUUGGGUUUAAAGGGUGCGCAGGCGGGCUGUUAAGUCAGCGGUGAAAGGCCCGGGCUCAACCGGAGCAGUGCCGUUGAUACUGGCAGUCUUGAAUGCGGUCAAGGCCGGCGGAAUGUGGCGUGUAGCGGUGAAAUGCAUAGAUAUGCCACAGAACACCGAUAGCGAAGGCAGCUGGCCUGGCCUGCAUUGACGCUCAGGCACGAAAGCGUGGGGAUCAAAC